CGGCGGACGGGUGAGUAACGCGUAGAAAUCUGCCUAGUAGUGGGGGAUAGCCCAGAGAAAUUUGGAUUAAUACCGCAUACGCCCUACGGGGGAAAGGAAGGGACCUUCGGGCCUUUCGCUAUUAGAUGAGUCUGCGUCGGAUUAGCUUGUUGGUGAGGUAAUGGCUCACCAAGGCGACGAUCCGUAGCUGGUCUGAGAGGAUGAUCAGCCACACUGGAACUGAGACACGGUCCAG
rnacentral:rRNA from 1 species